GCCAGAGUGGCGGAAUUGGCAGACGCGCUGGAUUCAAAAUCCAGUGCCCGCAAGGGCGUGUGGGUUCAAGUCCCACCUCUGGUAC
rnacentral:tRNA from 1 species